GUUCCCUGUGAUGCUAUAAUUGGACCAUGCUAAUGCUGAUUGCUGCAUGAUUAAUCCGUUUUAAUAUUCUGAGGGAACU